rnacentral:rRNA from 1 species
AUUGAACGCUGGCGGCAUGCUUUACACAUGCAAGUCGAACGGUAACAGGGUGCUUGCACCGCUGACGAGUGGCGAACGGGUGAGUAAUGCGUCGGAACGUGCCGAGUAGUGGGGGAUAACGCAGCGAAAGUUGUGCUAAUACCGCAUACGUACUGAGGUAGAAAGUGGGGGACCUUCGGGCCUCACGCUAUUCGAGCGGCCGACGUCUGAUUAGCUAGUAGGUGAGGUAAAGGCUCACCUAGGCGACGAUCAGUAGCGGGUAUGAGAGGAUGAUCGGCCACACUGGGACUGAGACACGGCCCAGACUCGUACGGGAGGAAGCAGUGGGGAAUUUUGGACAAUGGGCGAAAGCCUGAUCCAGCCAUGCCGCGUGUCUGAAGAAGGCCUUCGGGUUGUAAAGGACUUUUGUCAGGGAGGAAAUCCCUAGUGCUAAUAACACUGGGGGAUGACAGUACCUGAAGAAUAAGCACCGGCUAACUACGUGCCAGCCGCCGCGGUAA